rnacentral:tRNA from 1 species
GAGGUGUUAGUUAAAUAAUAACCUUGCCUUGUCAAGACAAACUUAUAGGUUAAACCCCUGUCCCCCUCU